CCAUGAAUUUUUUAAAUAAAUAACUCCUAUUAAUUUAUAUAUAUGGUGGCACAAAAUCGGAAGCCCCGACUGUUUACUAAAAACACAACUAUCUGCAAUUAUGAAAAUAAUAGUAUAGGUAGUGAGAUUUGCCCAAUGCCAUAUUAAUAAGUAAUAAUAAUGGGUGACUGUUUCUUUACAAAAAAUUGGUUAAUAGCGGUCUUAACUAUGAGGAUCCUAAGGUAGCAAAAUAAAUUGGCCAUUAAAUGUGGUCCAGUAUCAAUAAUUUAACGAUGGCUUCACUGUCUCUACAACUUGCUCAGUGAAAUUGAAUUACCCGUGCAGAUGCGGGUUACCUCAAAGAGGACGGGAAGACCCUAUGCAGCUUCUA
rnacentral:rRNA from 2 species